rnacentral:tRNA from 1 species
GCCUCCGUGGCCUAAUGGAUAAGGCAUCGGCCUCCUAAGCCGGGGAUUGCUGGUUCGAGUCCCGCCGGAGGUU